GGUUCAAUGGUCUAGUGGUUAUGAUUUCUGUCUUACAUGCGCACACAGAAGGUCUCCGGUUCGACCCCGGAUUGAACCA